rnacentral:tRNA from 1 species
GUUUUAAUAGUUUAAAAAAAACGCCGGUCUUGUAAAUCGGAAAUAAGGUCUGCCCCCACUUUUAGAACU